rnacentral:rRNA from 1 species
UAGAGUUUGAUCAUGGCUCAGAUUGAACGCUGGCGGCGUGCCUAACACAUGCAAGUCGAGCGGUAACAGGUGUAGCAAUACAUGCUGACGAGCGGCGAACGGGUGAGUAAUGCUUCGGAAUCUGCCCAAUGGUGGGGAAUAACCAGCCGAAAGGUUGGCUAAUACCGCAUACGUCCCACGGGAGAAAGCAGGGGAUCGCAAGACCUUGCGCCAAUGGAUGAGCCGAAGUCGGAUUAGCUAGUUGGUAGGGUAACGGCCUACCAAGGCGACGAUCCGUAGCUGGUCUGAGAGGACGACCAGCCACACUGGGACUGAGACACGGCCCAGACUCCUACGGGAGGCAGCAGUGGGGAAUAUUGGACAAUGGGGGAAACCCUGAUCCAGCGACGCCGCGUGUGUGAAGAAGGCCUGCGGGUUGUAAAGCACUUUUAGUGGGGAUGAAAAGUUCGGGGCUAACACCUCCGGAUCUUGACCUAACCCACAGAAAAAGCACCGGCUAACUCUGUGCCAGCAGCCGCGGUAAU